UACGGAGGGUGCGAGCGUUAUCCGGAAUUACUGGGUUUAAAGGGUGCGUCGGCGGCCAUGUAAGUCAGGAGUGAAAGUUUGCGGCUCAACCGUAAAAUUGCUUUUGAUACUGCAUGGCUGGAAUCAGGAUGAGGUCAGCGGAAUGUGGCAUGUAGCGGUGAAAUGCAUAGAUAUGCCAUAGAACACCAAUUGCGAAGGCAGCUGGCUAGACCUGUAUUGACGCUGAGGCACGAAAGCGUGGGGAGCGAACAGG
rnacentral:rRNA from 1 species